rnacentral:rRNA from 1 species
CUUAGUUCGUGGAGUGAUCUGUCUGCUUAAUUGCGUUUCAAAAUUUAACUUGAGGACCGGGUUUUGGUUUGGCUAGUGGUUCUACGAUGACUGUGAACUGUCAUGUCUUCGGAUGUGCGACUAUUGGUCUAGGAUCACAUGACUUGCCCCUGGGACUCUUUUGAACGCAACGGACGUGAUUGCAACCCCUUGUUGAGAUUAGAGAUAGUCUCGAUAUUCACUGGACAAACUGGCUGCUUUAUGCAGUCUUGUUGAAUGGUGGAUAAACUCGGGGGACUGCUGACUAUAACCAUUUCUCAAAACAGAGGAAGGUUGCGGCAAUAACAGGUCUGUGAUGCCCUCAGAUGUCCCGGGCUGCACACGUGCUACAAUGAGUGGCGCAAUGUGCUAAUGUUUAAGGGAUAAGAGUGUGGUCAGUAGAACGUCGGGAUUUCCCCUGACGUCUCCCCCGCACGAUUAUCAGCCUUCCCUUAACAGGGCGGGCAACCUUUUCAAAAUACUGGUUUGAUGUUAAAGUAUUGAGUCGUUUUUUUUGGAUGGUGGUUUGUUAACCAAUACCAUCCGGCAACUGCUCGCGAGUUUGUGGUUCUGGCGACUCAUGGUGGG